AUGCCGACGCCAGAGGCCGCAUUCGCAGGCAUCCUCCUCCUCGUCGUCUCCUUAGUUUCUGCUCUAGCCGGCGCCAAUGCCGCGACGGAGUCGGAGGCCGAGGCGCUGCUGGCCUGGAAGGCCAGCCUCGCCGCCGCCGCCGCGCUGUCCGAUUGGACCAAGGCCGCGCCGGCCUGCUCCUGGCUCGGGGUGUCCUGCGACGCAGCCGGACAUGUCCUUUCGCUCAGGCUCGUGGGCCUCGGCCUCACCGGCACGCUCGACGCGCUGGACUUCACGGCGCUCCCGGAUCUGGCCACGCUCGACCUUAACAACAACAACCUCUUCGGCGCAAUCCCGGCGAGCCUCUCGCGCCUCCGCUCCCUGGCCAAGCUCGACCUCGGCAGCAACGGGUUCAACGGCUCCAUCCCGCCGCAGCUCGGCGACCUCUCCGGCCUCGUGGACCUCCGGCUCUACAACAACAACCUCGCCGAUGCCAUCCCCCACCAGCUCAGCAGGCUCCCCAGGAUCAAGCAUUUCGACCUGGGAUCCAACUUCCUCACCGACCCGGACUACAGCAGGUUCUCGCCGAUGCCCACCGUCAACUUCAUGUCGCUCUACCUCAACUACCUCACCGGCAGCUUCCCGGAGUUCGUCCUCAACAGCAGCAACGUCACCUACCUCGACCUGUCGCAGAACAACUUCUCGAGGCCGAUACCAGACACGCUGCCGAAGAAGCUCCCCAACCUCAUGUACCUCAACUUGUCCGUCAAUGCCUUCUCCGGCGGGAUACCAGCGUCGCUGUCGAAGCUGAGGAAGCUCCGGGACCUACGGAUUUCAACCAACUAUCUGACGGGGGGCAUCCCCGAUUUCCUUGGGUCCAUGUCCCAGAUGAGAGUUCUUGAACUUGGCGGCAACCCGCUCGGCGGUCCGAUCCCGCCGGUUCUUGGCAGGCUCCAAAUGCUACAGCGCCUUGACCUGAGGAGUGCCAUGUUGGUUUCCACUAUUCCACCGCAGCUGGGCAACCUUGGCAAUCUCAGAUUCACGGACCUGUCCAUGAACCAGCUCAGCGGUGUCCUGCCGCCGGAGUUGGCCGGGAUGCGCAAAAUACGGGAAUUUGGCAUAUCAUCCAACAAUCUCGCCGGUCAGAUUCCACCGGCUAUGUUCACCAGCUGGCCAGACCUCAUAAAUUUCCAAGUGUUCAAAAACUCAUUUACCGGGAAGAUUCCGCCAGAAAUCGGCAAGGCAACCAAGCUAGAAAUCUUGUAUCUCUUCAGCAACAACUUUACCGGCUCUAUCCCGGUAGAGAUUGGCCAGUUGGUGAACCUGGUUCAGUUGGACCUGUCCGUAAACUGGCUCACAGGCCUGAUACCUCACUCGCUUGGGAACCUCAAGCAGCUCACGCGGCUGACGCUGUUUUUUAAUGAGCUCAUUGGUGCCAUCCCACCGGAGAUCGGCGACAUGACAGCACUGCAAGUACUGGACGUCAACACCAACCAUUUGGAAGGCGAGCUGCCCACGACCAUCACAUCACUCGGUAAUCUCCAAUACCUUGCGCUGUUUGAUAACAACUUCACUGGUACCAUACCACCGGACCUCGGCAAGGGGCUGAGCUUAACCGAUGCCGCCUUCGGGAACAACAGCUUCUCCGGUGAGCUGCCGCAGAGCCUGUGCCACGGCCUCGCGCUGCAGAACUUCACAGCAAACCACAACAACUUCAGCGGCACCCUGCCGCCAUGCCUGAAGAACUGCGCAGGCCUGUACCAUGUGAGACUGGAGCAGAACCAAUUCACCGGCGACAUCUCAGAGGUGUUUGGCGUCCAUCCCAUCUUGGAUUCCUUGGAUGUCUCGAAGAAUCAGCUGACAGGGAAAUUGUCGCCUCAUUGGUCACAGUGCACCAAUCUUACAGUUCUAUCCAUGAACAACAACCUCAUGUCUGGCAGUAUCCCUGCAGCCUUGUGUCGAUUGACCUCUCUCCGAUCACUGGAUCUAUCAAAUAACCAAUUCACCGGGGAGCUCCCACACUGCUGGUUGAAAUUAAAGGCACUGGUGUUUAUGGAUGUGUCCAACAAUGGUCUGUGGGGUAACUUUCCUGCCUCAACGAGCUUGGAUGACUUUCCUCUCCAAUCACUUCGUCUUGCUAACAAUAGCUUCUCCGGAGAAUUCCCAUCUGUCAUUGAGACUUGUUGCAGUAUGCUCAUCACACUAGAUCUUGGGGACAACAUGUUUGUUGGUGAUAUUCCGUCUUGGAUUGGAACAAGUGUUCCUCUUCUAAGAGUUCUGACCCUCCCAUCCAACAAGUUCAGUGGUGUCAUUCCAUCUGAGUUGUCCAAACUUUCUAAUCUGCAAGUACUUGACUUGUCCAAGAAUAGCUUUACUGGAUCGAUCCCAGGAACGUUCGGCAACUUAACAUCAAUGAUGAAAACACCAAAACAAGUUUUCUCCAGCAAAAAAGUAGAAUCUUCUGGAAGGCAUGAUUUUGUCCAAGUGAGACGGAUUUCCACAUUUUCUCGGAGGACAGUGCCAGCCAAUAACCCGUCGCUGCUGGAUAAGUACCGAGACAGAGUUAACAUUUUCUGGAAGGGCCGUGAACAAACUUUCCAGAAAACAAUCGAAAUAUCAGGUAUUGAUUUAUCAAGCAAUCUACUCACAGGGAACAUCCCUGAGGAGCUAACAUACCUUCAAGGUCUCCUAUUCUUGAACUUGUCUAGAAAUGAUCUGUCAGGCAGUAUUCCAGAAAGCAUUGGUGGUUUGGAGCUAUUGGAGUCCCUUGACCUCUCAUGGAAUGAACUUUCAGGUGCUAUCCCUCCUACCAUUUCAAAAUUGAAUUCGCUCGGCGUGUUAAAUCUGUCCAACAAUCUCUUAAGGGGCGUCAUACCCACUGGAAGUCAGAUGCAGACAUUUGCAGACGAAUCAAUUUAUGGCAACAAUCCGGGGCUUUGUGGGUUCCCGUUGAGCAUAGCUUGUUCGGAUGAGGGAACUGAAGACCACCAAGAACUUGGACGAGGUAUAUGGUUGUGGUACUCUAUAAUCCUUGGCAUCGUUUUCGGUUUUUGGUCCUGGUUUGGAGCUCUGUUUUUCCUCAGGCCAUGGAGGUUUUUCUUUCUCCAAUUUCUUGAUAAGUUAGGCAGUAAGUAA
rnacentral:rRNA from 1 species